rnacentral:lncRNA from 1 species
CCAAAGUUCUUCCAACAAUUUAAGCCAGGAAUUGCCCCACUGUUUCCGAGGUGAUGAGAGCCUCUGAGAGAAAGUGCUAGGAUUACAGGCAUGAGCCACUGCACCCAGCCUCACAGAGCUCCUAAAUUAUAAGAGUGGGGAUUUGAACCCAGAUGAGAAAACUGAGGCACAUAGGGUUAAGUAGAUUGUCCAAGGUCACUGCUGAUAACUGCAGCACUGGGAUUUGAAGCACUGAACUCUGCUGACUCCUGAGAAGCAUACCUCUAACAGCUGAGAUUUCCAAGGCUUUUUGGCCAAUGUGUUUGUCAACAUCUGCAACAAAUUUCCAGAACUCAGGCCAGAGCCCUGGGCAAAGCCUCCUUUUUUGUCUCCUCUUUUUAUCUCCCAGUGCAGGCAGCCUUGACCUGGAGCCCUACAAUCCUCAUGAGCAGUCUGAAUUUUAUUCCAAGUGCAGUAGGAAGCCAUCAGAUGAUUUUAAAUGGAGAAGUAAGACACUUGGAUCUGUGCCUAAAAGAAUCACUCUGCUGUUGAGUUCCUGAGAAGCAGACUCUGAGAUAGAGAUCAUUUUGUGGGAAGCUUAUUGGGAGGUGCUCUUGGGAUCCACACCUGUAGAAGCCUCUUUGCUCCCCACACUUCAGGACUGGGCAGAGACAGCCAGUCCUGGGGCUCAAACAUGCAGCCAAGGCAAACGCCAU